rnacentral:miRNA from 1 species
CAGAACUGGCUCGUAUUUUAUU